CCCAAGGCAAACACAACAAGACUAUUCAGUUUCAAAACCCUAAAGGAGAAAACUCUCUGGUUCUCUCUAUCCCCAUCAAGAGAGCAAGGUCUUCAGGGUGUUUUGCCGAGGAAGAUCACUCAACCCAUUGGCUCUACCAUCAGGAUUUCAUUAAUGGCAAUUCCCACAGGUACGCUUCCGCCUUUGGCUAUUCAUCAUGUAAUUGACAUGGAUUG
rnacentral:lncRNA from 1 species